UAGCAAAAAUGCACUUUUGGUGCCCUUCAUCAACAUCAUCAUCAUCAUCUUCUUAUCACCACCAUUUUCUGCUUGCUCUUGGUUAUAGCUUCCCUGUUCCUUCCAGGAGCGUACGGCCGUGCCUUGGCCAUUUCAACUAAAUUCAAGCCGCUAGGAUCUAUCCCUGCAGUGGGAAGGCAUCAUCAUCAUGCCGGAGUGUAUGCUACUCGUGGAGUGUAUUCUAGUCGUGCCAGAGUGUAUAAUCAUCUGUUCAAAGGGGGACGUCCUUGAAAAGAAAACAUGUUGGCUGUUCCAGAUGCCAUCAAGCCAAGAACUUUGUGUUUCUCAUGAUCGUGAUAUAUAUGUAAUAUGUCAUAAUACUCUUGGUAUAUUCUAGAUGUAGUAGAAUUACUUCAGUUUCUGUAUUCCACAAAUCAUCUUCCAUACAUUCUCAUGUGUAGAUUCAUCUUGACAAUAGUAAAAUAUAAAGAGAUGAGUUUUACAGUUUAA